UUUUAAAAGGUACAAGUGUCAAAGUAUAUUUUGUUGCUAGGUUUCGCACAUGCAGUAUCAUUGUGAUGUAAGCAAUAGAAUUUUUAAAAGGUACAAGUGUCAAAGUAAAUGGAGGAAUAUCAGGAGAGCAGAUCAUGUGUCCUGAAGUCCAUCUUAUAGAACAGGAUUCUUACUAAUGAGAAUGGAGAGGAAGGGAUCUAUUCAACAAGAUCUAUAGAAACCCAAGAAAGUGCAGUUUUUACCCAGUUGCUGAAUCUCAUCCUCACUAAAACCCAUCCAGUCCUAUUGUGAUCAAACUGCACCUAGAAUGACUUCUACUAACUAAAGAAGUGAGCCAGCUGAAAACUCUCUCAAAAAUGCUGAAAAUGAACCACGAAAUACCUGUGAGAAUGAGUAAGAACAUUCGCUUCCUGAUACCAACAUUUCUCAGGUGGAAACCAAUGUAUCAGGCAGAGAGCUGAGUUCAUCAAGUUCUGAGGAGGAUAAGGAUGCCCAGGAAGUAGAAAACAGUCACUCUGAACAGGAGAACACUCAAAAUUAUUCCCAAGAUGAAGAAUUAAUAGAAUACUCUUCAACUUCAGAUACUCAUUCCUAGACAGCUGACCAUCCCUAGGUUUACAUUAUGUAGAAGUAUCUGAGUAUCCCACAACCACAACUUCAUGAAAAGUCCUUAUAUCUAUCCAUCUAGUGAGGAUGGAGAUGAGAGUAAGUGAUUACUUUCAUAGCCCCAUACAUGGCAUCAUGCUACAUCCAUGUUGCCUUGUGUGGUGCGUCCCAUUCUUUAAUACUGAUGAGAUAAGCAGAAAUUUCUCUCAGCCAGAAUGUCUCCAACAUAAUGCAUGGAUAAAACAAAAAAUCUGUAGAAGUUCUUGCUUACCAAAAUGUCAUCAAUUUCCAAAGGAACAUAGGCCUUUGAAAAUAUAUUGGUACAUCGCCUUUGUGAAAGACUGACUCAAAGAAAAACUAAGUUAUAUCAGAACGAGAAUGGAAACCAUCUUUCUGUGAGGCCACACAACAGUUCCGAACCUACUGUCCGUAGAAAAGUUUUGGAAAAUAAUUGGAGAACUCGUCAUAAGCUGAGGCCAAUAAUCAUAAUGUACAACAAUAACUGGAAAUAUCUGUAUCCCAUCUGUGGUUGUUGUUUUAACAACUAUUAUCAUUUUAAACAUCAUUCUUGCAGCUUUUAUGAAAAUUAAGUUAAAGCACUUAAUUUAAUUUUUCAUUUUAAAUUCUAAAACUAUUCAGUGUUAGUAACUCAUCUGAGAAAAUAUCUCAUGAUCAAUCAAUGUAGUAUGAUUACAAUACACUGCAAAACUGAAUGCAAGCUAUGUAUAUACUUCAACAAGUACCAUUUCAGAGAAGAUAUUUAACCUUCAUAUGGAUUAUUGAAAAAUCAAGUUGUUUAUGUACAUUGAGUCAUCAACUGAACCAAGAUAAUGUUUACAACUCCCCUCACAUCAAUUUCUGUUGAUAAGAGUACUGUUUCUGGACAGCAACUAAACCAGAUCCUGGUAAAGAAAACAGAGAGCUAGACAAAGGCACAAUAGGCAUUUCUAGAGAUUCUGCUCAACAAAAAUUUGAAGUUUCCUCCAAAAUUCAAUAAAAUCAUAGUAAAGGCA